rnacentral:lncRNA from 1 species
UGAGAUAUCUUUACCUUCGACUCUUAUGAUAUGAGGUACUUUUGCUUUUGAAGAAGUAUAUUUCCACAUGUUUAAUCUUGAACUGGGCUGGGGAACUUCUUAGCAAGGAAGAGGAGACUUGCUCUUGAAGGAAAUCGGACCAUGAGCAGUCUGACAUGGCAAAUGAUCCUUAGCUUAGUUGAGGAUGAAUCAGCAUGUUGUCUCCACAUACUUUUAAGGUAUCAUUUUCAUUUGCCUUAUCUGUUGUCCAAGCAGAUGUGGCAUCUUCUUUGGAAGUACAUCAGCAGUUGAAGAUGAGUACUCGAGAGCAAUGCUAGGUAAGUAACCAGGAAAGGGUUCUAAGACGUCGGUUCUAGAUCAGAAGAUUGAUACUAAGUGCUGGCUGAUUGCCCUCUUUCUCCUUUUCUCGCAGGUGAGAACAAAGACAAGAAAAUGACAGGGAGAAAGAAUGAUAUGAGAUAUUUUUGCUUUCCACAUUCCUGAUCUGAAAUACUUUUGCUCUUGAUGACUUGUUUGCAGAGGUACCCCAGGGAAUGAGGAACACUGAGUAACUCAAGAGGCUUCGUUGGGAAUACAUUCUCAGAGAUGAAGAAAGGUUGAGUAAGUCUGCCUUGCUAUGGAGGG